rnacentral:rRNA from 1 species
GACGAACGCUGGCGGCGUGCCUAAUACAUGCAAGUUGAGCGCUGAAGGUUGGUACUUGUACCAACUGGAUGAGCAGCGAACGGGUGAGUAACGCGUGGGGAAUCUGCCUUUGAGCGGGGGACAACAUUUGGAAACGAAUGCUAAUACCGCAUAAAACUUUAAACACCAUGUUUAAGUUUUAAAGAAGCAAUUUCCUCACACAAAAAAGAGCCCGCGUUGUAUUUACUAAGUGGGGAGGGAAAGGGUCCUCAAGGCGAAGAUACAUAGCCGACCUGAGAGGGUGAUCGGCCAAAUUGGGACUGGGACACGGCCCAAAAUCCUACGGGAGGCAGCAGUAGGGAAUCUUCGGCAAUGGACGAAAGUCUGAACGAGCAACGCCGCGUGAGUGAAGAAGGUUUUCGGAUCGUAAAACUCCGUUGGUAGAGAAGAACGUUGGUGAGAGUGGAAAGCUCAUCAAGUGACGGUAACUACCCAGAAAGGGACGGCUAACUACGUG